rnacentral:rRNA from 1 species
UACGUAGGGUGCAAGCGUUGUCCGGAAUUAUUGGGCGUAAAGAGCUCGUAGGCGGUUUGUUGCGUCGGCUGUGAAAUCCCGAGGCUCAACUGUGGGCUUGCAGCCGAUACGGGCGGGCUAGAGUUCGGUAGGGGAGACUGGAAUUCCUGGUGUAGCGGUGAAAUGCGCAGAUAUCAGGAGGAACACCGGUGGCGAAGGCGGGUCUCUGGGCAACUACUGACGCUGAGGAGCGAAAGCAUGGGUAGCGAACAGG